UUUUCCAUUCCGUUGAAAUGCUCUAAAACGGAGCGUUUCAGACAGAACGUGAAUGAAAACCAUGAACUUGGCUGCCUGGUGCAUAGUAAUGAGCCCCGCUGCUGGUGGAUAUCGUUAGGCGAGAGAUGCUGCUUCCGAGGACAGCGUGGCUUGGCCAGACCUGAAUGUGCUGGGCUCUCGUCCCCUCCGGAUAUGGUCGCUCAGGGCCCAUCAUCCCUUAGACACAAAGAUCCUCUUCACAUCCUUCUCUAUCCCGUCCAUUGUGAAGGGCCCGCCUAGAGGCACACGGCUCCUGUGCCUUCUUCAGGGCUAAAUGCAUCUCCUGUCACUGGCUGGUAUCGGUGCCAGUUCAGCUGCUGGAAGCACUCAGGUGCUCAGGUCUCCACGAGUAAAAAAUCAGAGUUGCAUCCCAUGACAACAGCGAACCUCCUGGUGACAGCAUGAAAAACAAAGAUCUUCAGGGACAGUCGCAGUGGGAGCACUGAGGGGAGGGCUCGAAAUUCUCAUUAGUGAGCUGUUACUGGAAUGUGGAGCUGUAACAACAACUAACAAAUAUGUAUUACUCUAGUAAAGCUCUUUAACAUGUUUACCUGACUAAAUAUGUUUAAAGUAAAAGGCUACUGGCAACACUUUACAAUUCAGUUUCUCUACAAGUUUCAAUUUAUUUUAGACUAUAUAUUGAUUUGCUAGUUGUUGAGACGUAAAUAUGUUUGUGUUUGGAGAUAUUGCCUCUUCCACACAGCUCCAUGUCUUCUUUAAGCUGAUUCACACAUAAUCAUGAAGGGACUACUUAGUAACUACUCAGUAUGAUGUAUCACUUUAGAGAUUCCGGCUGAUUGGACCAAUUUAAAAAAAACAAUAACAAAUGUCAAACUCAGAUUAUGUGAUUUACUGUAGUGGGGAUUUUUAGCUCAAUUGUAUGAUUUGUUGAGGGUAAAUUUAAACUUUUAGUAAACUACAGCCCUCACAUGCUCUUCAGAGUAAAAAUCCAUUCUUUUAGCCUGCAUUUGAAAUCAGUAAAUCAUCUCGAAAACUGUGUUCUGCUAGCCUGAUAAAUCUUUUGUGCAGCUGAUGAUACACUUUUUUGUUUUUCAAAUAAAGUGCUAAAAGCAUAGUCAAGUGAAGACCAUGUACCAAGGAUGUAGUCAUACCCAGGGCCGUGGCAGGGGACAGAACUACGGGCGAGGAGGAGGAGGCAGAGGGAACGGCAAGGAUGACAAGAAAUGUUACAUCUGUAAAAAGAUUUGACAUUUUGCC